ACAGACAAGAAAGCGCAGGCGGCAGCUGUCAUGCACACAAAGGAAAUCAAGCAGAGCAGGAUGAUGGAGAGCCAAGUGCGGGCACAUCAAGGGACUACAUGAGAAGAUAAGCCUCCUGCAGAAGAGUGAGCAACCUCAGGAGCCUGUGGUGCUCCCAGGUGAGCACAGCUGCUGGAGGGGGCUCUGCCCACGUAGCAUGCCACCCCGGGUCACGCCAGGGCCAAGGCCAGACAUGGGAGCACAGGUAUCCUUCCACAGCUGCGACUGCCUAUUGGACACUCACUUCUGGGUGCAGAUGAGAACUCCAUCAGCCUGAGCUGAAGAGCCAGAGAGGCACCGUGUCGGACACAUCAAAGAAGAAGCCGGCUGGAGAGCCGAGGCUGAUGUAGGAACAUCGACUCAAAGUCUUCUGGGCAUGUGGAGUGAUGCUCUGAGGGGUGAAGUCACUACACAAAUCUUCACCAAGAUGAGGGAUGGAAGGCUACUCCAUAUUCUAAAGAACAGUCAUUCUCACACUGUGGACCUAUCUGGAGUAGCUGGGCCAGUCCUGGUGACCAUGAUGGGGAGCACCUUCCCAGGGAGAUGGCUUUCCUCUUUCUUAUGCAGUAGGGGCUCUGGAGCUCUGCAGAGCCAUGGUCAAUGCUGUGCAUGGGGCUAGCGUCUUACUGCUGCACUCUCACACCUCCACCAUGGUCUGCUGUAGGUUCCAAGAUAAUCCUUUCUGUUCUUAACUUGGAAGAGGACCGUGAAUGUGUGUGGGGGCCAAAGCUAAUACAUGGAUCCUUCCUGUGCUCCUAAUUACACUUGAGAAUUGUAAAAAAAAAAAAAAAAAAAUCCUCAAGUACCUGACACUCCAGCAGCCAGAGAUGUCCAGGAACAUCAUCUCCUUUUUAUAGAUGAGAAAACAUUCAGAGAUGAAGGAAGUGUCCAAGGUCACAGAGCCAGUGAGUAGAAGAAGCAAGAUAUAAACCCAGGUCUGUCUGGCUCUUCAAACCAUCAAAUGGCUACACUUUCUCCAACAGAUAACAGAGAGUAAAAACGCCCUGCAGUUAAAAGCCAGGAAAGAAUAAACAGGACCAAAUCAGGGGAAAAGGCAGGCCUGCUCUGUUCAUGGUGAUGACCUAGUUAAAAGAGAAACACCCCUCUCCAGCACAUUAACCCUUAGCACCCACACUGCCAACACAUCCAAGAGCAGAGAAGUAUUCCAGAUUUGCUGUCUGCUGAAAUCGUGACACUCCUGUGCAAGUAGCUUGCCCUGCUCACAGCACUUAGAGACACCGAGGGUUAACAUUUCCCAAAGCACUGCCAGCCUCUCCUUGUUGAACAGAGACAACAGCCCUGCUGGAGGGAUGCCUCAGGUCAGGUCCCCGGUGAGGUGAGAGCUAGCGAGUGCCACUCCCCCUCCCACAUGAUGCUCUGUUCCUCUAGCUCUCCUUCAGCUCCCGGCCCCUUCUCCAGGACACAGCCAUGCAGGGGGGUGGAGCUGACCAAGCUUCUGGGGAAAGAAGCACCUAGAUGGCUGCCCCGGCCACAGCAGUAGGAAGGUGCUGUUCAGACCACAAGGUGUGGCUGAUAGGGACACUAGUCCACCUGGAUGGGUAUGAGGAAAGUGAGCCUGCCCAACAGUUUCUCACUAGGGGAGAAGUUUCAUGUCAGGGAGAAAACCCACCAGGGAGAGAUGCCCACCACACUCAUCAACUCUCCCUUCUGGAGUUUCCCAUUCUCCUCUGUGCUACCGCUGGCUGGACUAGAACCACCACACACUUACUGGUCUGUAUCCCUUUCCAGGUUCAAUGAGACCCACUCUGCCCCUGCAGAAGUAGGGGCCCCAGAGAAUAGGUUUUAUACCUAAUGGCCCUGAACUCCUUACUCUAGCUGAUCAGACAAAAGGGCAGCCAAUCCUCAGCCUGGUUGGUGGUGAUGGCGGUCACACAAGGAGGAAGUUAUCAGGGUGGGUUAAGGCCAAGGAGAACCAAAGCCUGGGAAAGAAACACUUGAGCUCAGAGCAAACACAGAGCAGGGCUCGUGACAAGCUGGUCAGGAGGAAGUGGACCCAGUCUAGCACAGAGGGAAGCAGAAACUCCAGCCAGAGCUGCCUAGGGCCCUGUCAAUUUCCUCGUUCUAAUGCCUCAACAAAGUCCCAGAUAGCAGAGAAAAGGGAACACACGCCCUCCAGGGUCCAGGGGGUAAAGAUGGAAGUUGCCUGAGGCAAGGAAAAAUAAAAUUACUCUGAAAUUACCUAUUUUAUCUUAAAAGUAACUUGAAUUUUCUAUGCUAUUCCAUAACACCAGUGUUUGCUUUAACAUAAAAAAUGGCAUUU